rnacentral:rRNA from 1 species
GACAGAGGUGCCAAGCGUUAGGCGGAAUCACUGGGCUUAAAGCGUGUGUAGGCGGAUCGUUAAGUACCUUGUGAAAUCCCACGGCUCAACCGUGGAACUGCUGGGUAUACUGGCGAUCUUGAGCCACCUAGGGGCGAGCGGAACAAGCGGUGGAGCGGUGAAAUGCGUAGAUAUCGCUUGGAACGCCAAUGGUGAAAACAGCAUCGCUAGGGGUGUGAGCUGACGCUGAGACACGAAAGACCAGGGGAGCGAACGGG